UGUCGUCUUUUUCCCAAUAAUCGGCCGUGAGUUGUCUUCUGCCAUCCACUUUUUAGUUCCAAAAGGUUCCAAUUUCAGCCCCCUAGCAGUUUUGUACACGUUUAAUUCCUCAAUUCUCCGAGCGCAAUUCGGCCAAUGUCUCCUCUAUUUUUCUCCAAUCUGCUGCCUUUUGUUGCGUGUAUGUAUAUACAUAUAUUAAUAACAGCAACCUCCAGCAGUCAGCCCUUUCUCUCCACUUUUUUCUCCUGCAAUUGACGUGUAAUUCCUCCCCUUUUUAAUGCAUGUGAAUGGUUUCUUCCAGCAGAAGGCAGCCCACCAAUUUCUCUACCAGAAGCUGGCUGAAUUAUUAAUCCCAAAGCUGGCCGACAAUGUUUAUAUUCUAAUUGCCACCAGCAGCUUAUGUAUGUAU
rnacentral:lncRNA from 1 species